rnacentral:tRNA from 1 species
GCCGGGAUGGCGGAAUUGGCAGACGCAUCGGACUUAAAAUCCGAUGUUCCGUAAGGGACGUGCCGGUUCAAGUCCGGCUCUCGGCA